rnacentral:rRNA from 1 species
UACGUAGGUGACAAGCGUUGUCCGGAUUUACUGGGCGUAAAGAGCGCGCAGGCGGUCGUUCAAGUCGAGUGUGAAAGCCCCCGGCUCAACUGGGGAGGGUCAUUCGAUACUGAUCGACUCGAAGGCAGGAGAGGGUAGUGGAAUUCCGGGUGUAGUGGUGAAAUGCGUAGAUAUCCGGAGGAACACCUGUGGCGAAAGCGGCCACCUGGACUGCACCUGACGCUGAGGUGCGAAAGCGUGGGGAGCAAACAGG